GGUCUUAUAGUUGAAUAACAAUAUUUAAUUGCAGCUUAAAAGGAGUAAAGUUACUGAGAUUU
rnacentral:tRNA from 1 species